UGUAUCGCUGAUGAUAAUUUGGCUCCCUCUACUGAGAUUUUAUGCGGAAGACUGCCACUGUUACCCAAUUUCUGUCUGAGAUACG
ensembl:snoRNA